CAGAGAAGCAGACAUGGUACCUGCAGGCGAUAUGUUUUUUCGUAGGGAAGGUACUGCCUCCUUUGUCUUUGAUUGGCUCGAAAAGCUGGGCUCCGAUUGGUUAUUCCUUAUGGCUGUGAAACGUCAUCUCACACGCUCAAGCCAAGCACGGGUUGUCGGCUCUGUACAUCGAACAGAACAUUACAGAACAUUAUUGCAAUUCUGAAUCUCCCCUAACCCGACAGAUGAUGUUUCACAGCCAUAAGGAAUAACCAUAUUAUAUUCUGUGUAAUACAUUUUUGAGAGUUUGUCCACAGCCCUAUAAGGAUGGCUAGCGGAGGCAGGAUUAUGUCCUAUACUGCAGCCCGUCACCAGAGGGUGCUGUUUUUGCGGUGGCUUCACCCAGUGAGGAGGCAGACUGCAUUGAUUCUAUAAACAGUCUAUGGGAAGACUCUUCGGUGUUCCCGUUCAUGCACUAAUCUGUGUGAGUGUGUAUUUGUGUGGGCGACAGGUCAGACAGAGGACCGUGUAGUCGCUCCCAGCUGACCACUCGACUGAAUCCAAAUUAAAAUUGGUCGUUUGUCACAUGAUAAAUAGACCACUAUAGUCACCUCUGCCGCGCAACACCUGCUAAUCCCCCGAGAGCAUGCCGCUCUUGUUUUGAAAGGUGAGCCCCGUGGGUUGUCUUUCAAAGUGGGGAUAUUUGGGCCUCAUUCUAUUUUCAUGGAGAGGUCUGAAAUUCUCAAGAGCCCCUUGAGGUCCUCCCGGCUGUCCUUGAUGGUCCCACCUCUUGUACAGCCACACUCAUCAUCCGGCAUUUGAGAUGGCUGUUUCAAUGGACCAACCUAGACACACUGACAGUUCGGACAUGUGGAUGAAGAUGAAGCGAGCAGGACCGUGACUUGAGCUGUGGCCCAGCAGAUGGGACGUUUUGUACUUUGCAGAUAAAGUGGGUGAAAAAUGGGCGUGCAGAGUGGAGGGAUUUUGGAGUACACCUACUGUCUAACUGGGUUGACCCCCAAAUUCAUAAUUUAAGCCGUCAACAGUUCCAGUCUAUCACCUACAUUUUAGAAAUCUACCUAACUCGUGUUAUUGUGAGCCCCGCAACCAAUCCUGCUCUGCUAACUUGGCCACAUUCAAUACCUUCAAGCUCCCAGCUGUUAUCUAAGAGGAGAAGUUUCAUGACUAACUUGGUCUUUGGCGUCAUUUAGUUUGUUUUAUAAUAAUAAAUCCCUGCACAUGUCUGGUGCAGGUGGAUGCCAACGUCCUUUUAAACGCAGAGGAAAAAUGCAAACACCGUAGACUUGAAAGUCCGUGUUGUUUGAGACAUGUAAACGUGUCCGGUCUAUAAAGUUUUUACAAGAGACAAUAUUCAAUAUAAUGUAAAUGGAGGGACUGUAAAGAGGAGCCUGUUAAACAGCUGUAAAAGAGCUCAGUUUCAGGUCAUCCUCUACUUCCCUUCAUGUUUAACCUCCAAAAAACAGGGUGGUCCUGUUUCCCUCCGGCUCACAUUUUUCUGAGACACACUCACAUACAGGAGGUAGUUAACCAGCUAUUUUGAGUCCAUAGCAGUAGCAACUGACACAUGCUGGGGAUUUCAGCGGAGACCCCGAGCGCGGCUCCAAUGAAUGAGCGGCUUGUCAGGAGGGGAGACGGUGGUGCAGAGGGGGCAGAGGGCACAGGACAGGGGACAGGUGGAUGUGGACAAGGGGAGGCAGGAAAGGGUGUGAUAUUCACACGUGUUUUAGAAAACCGGAGAGACAUUAUGUCAGCCACCGGGGACAGAUGUAACGCUCAUAAUCACGCAUGUAUAGAACAAAUAUGGAGACCACACUGGAAACAGUCUGACUGUGACCAUCAUAUAAUGUGGAAAAUGAUGUUUUCAUAUGAAUGUAAAUACACUAACACUGGAUGGCAGUGAUCUAAAGACAGGCAUGACUCUGUAGUGGAAAUCACGGCAUAACAUAUUGUAGGGCUGGGCAAUAAACUCAUAUCGGUACGUUCGGUGUCAAAAAAUAAAUAAAAGUUGGUUUUGGAUGUGUGUAGGUAGGCUAUGGUCUCAUGUCCCUUUAAAGGGAUAUUCUGGCGUAAAAUUGAUAAACACGGAGUUAGACACCCCCUCCAGAGAUGAAUGUUGCCGACCGCUUGCUUCUCUAGUUAUACCAACUUUAGUAAACGACCGCAUGAUAGCAAUACACAGAGGUCUGAGGAGCCAUAAACAAACCUCAACCAAAACGCCA